GCGUUAUCCGGAUUCACUGGGUUUAAAGGGUGCGUAGGUGGGCAAGUAAGUCAGUGGUGAAAUCUCCGGGCUUAACCCGGAAACUGCCAUUGAUACUAUUUGUCUUGAAUACUGUGGAGGUCAGCGGAAUAUGUCAUGUAGCGGUGAAAUGCUUAGAUAUGACAUAGAACACCAAUUGCGAAGGCAGCUGGCUACACAAAUAUUGACACUGAGGCACGAAAGCGUGGGGAUCAAACAGGAUUAGAUACCCUGGUAGUCCACGCCCUAAACUAUGGAUACUCGACAUACGCGAUACACUGUGUGUGUCUGAGCGAAAGCAUUAAGUAUCCCACCUGGGAAGUACGAUCGCAAGAUUGAAACUCAAAGGAAUUGACG
rnacentral:rRNA from 1 species